UCCCUGGAAGCCAAAUGGUUAGGCAUCUGCCUUUUAAGCAGAGACAAGUGGGUUCGAUCCCCACCCAGGGAA
rnacentral:tRNA from 1 species